rnacentral:lncRNA from 10 species
GUCACUUCCACGGGACCCACCAGCUUAAAUGCCGGCAGCCCUGGGACUUCUGGCCUCACAAUGGUUGAGAAUGCAAGACCAUCAAGGCAAGGAUGUUAAUUUUCUUCAAUGAGGUAUCUCCUGUGUCUGGAAUGAUAUAAGGCUCAUCCCAGAUGAUGAAUGAACAGUGAAUCUGUGGAGCUUCAGCAUCCUCACCUAAGAUGGGAAUAGCUAUGCCCAUCUCCCGAGAUUAUUGUGGAGAUCAGAUGUUAUGCGUACAAAGCACAGGGCAUGAUACCUGAUACACAUCUUGCUCUAUAAAGACUGGUAGAGGAGUGUGUUGUUAUUGUUAUCAAUAUCAUUAUCAUUUUUAUCCAUAAAAUGAAGAUUAUAAAACCUAAGUUGCUGUGAAUAUUGAGACAAAGUAUGAAAAGUACCUGGCAACUGGAGAUGUUUAAUAAACUGGAAUUUAUUUUCUC